CCUACGGGUGGCAGCAGUAGGGAAUCUUUCACAAUGGGCGAAAGCCUGAAGGAGCAAAGCCGCGUGCAGGAUGAAGGCCUUCGGGUUAUAAAAUGCUUUUAUAAGCGAGACAUAUGAUGGUACCUUAUGCAUAAGGAUCGGGUACCUACGUGCCGGCAGCCGCGGUAAUACGUCGGUGGCAAGCGUUAUACGGAUUUACUGGGGGUAAAGGGCGUGUAGGCGGGAGUGCAAGUCAGAUGUGAAAACUAUGGGCUCAACCCAUAGCCUGCAUUUGAAACUGGACUUCUUGAGUGCUGGAGAGGCAAUCGGAAUUCCGGGUGUAGCGGUGAAAUGCGUAGAUAUACGGAGGAACACCAGUGGCGAAGGCGGAUUGCUGGACAGUAACUGACGCUGAGGCGCGAAAGCGUGGGGAGCAAACAGGAUUAGAUACCCCAGUAGUC
rnacentral:rRNA from 1 species